GGUGACUCUCUCAGGAGGUUGAAUAGGGUUAGAAAGACGGCAUGACUAUAUCUCUAAUGUAGACCUAAAGUGCUUCCUAGAGCUAGGGACCAGGAUUCUAAAUGAGACCUGAGGGAAUGGAGCUGUUGUUGACAAGAGCUGUUAGACAAACAGGACAUGGAGGAGGAGAGGUCAAAAGUCCGUCUGACUCACCUGUGCUGAGUGACUUGAAUGCCAUCUAAUCUAACUUCAAGGUCACAGUGUUUGGACACCGCAUGAACAUGCCAAUUUCCUGUGUUGUAAUAUUUUUAUGCACUUUAAGAAGACCACCAGAAACAGCAGAGUGAGUGAAUGAAACAGCCACAGGAUGUCUAGGAGCCAGCAGAGGGGCCAGAUAUGCUGCAGUUUAUGCUGUAAAAGGAAGCCUGCCGCCGUGAGUGGUCCAGUGGGAGCUCUUGCUUUGUGUCCUCAGCCUUUCACCUUUCCAUCUGAUGACUUGCUCUGAAUCUUCACUUCCUGGGCAGAGAAGAUGUUCCAGGAUUACUUCAUGCUGUCCAGGUCCUAGACAUGGAAUCGUUUGCUUCUUCAAAAGUCUGGAUCCCUUUAAGAUACGAAAUGUAUUUAGAAACCAAAGUAUGGAUGCUAGGUGUGCUCAUGGCCAUUGGAGUGUGUUUCUAGACCCAGGAAUAAGCAAACAAUGGCCUGUAAACUAUAUCCUGUCUGUGGCCUGUUUUUGUACAUCCUAAGAACUAAAAAUUAUUUUAAAAAUUGUAAAUGGGAAAAAGUCAACAACAACAAACAAAUCAACAAAUAACCCCACAAAUAAACAGUUUCUUAAAGACCAGAAUGACCAAGAAA
rnacentral:lncRNA from 1 species